rnacentral:rRNA from 1 species
UUGCAGUUAAAAGCUCGUAGUUGGAUUUCUGCGGGGGCGGCGCGGCCGGAUGCUUAUAGCAUCUCGAGCUAGCACUUCCCCCGCAUCCUGCCGCGAACCGUGCUACCAUUAGUUUGGUGGCGCUGGGGAUCGGCUCGUUUACUUUGAGAAAAAUAGAGUGUUCAAAGCAGGCCACACGCCUUGAAUAAGUUAGCAUGGAAUAAUGAUAAAGGACUUCGGUUCUAUUUUGUUGGUGUUCGGGACUGAAGUAAUGAUUGAUAGGGACAGUUGGGGCGGUCAGUAUUCCAAAGCGAGAGGUGAAAUUCUUAGACCUUCGGAAGACUAACAGCUGCGAAAGCGUUCCGCAAGGAUGUUCCCUUUGAUCAAGAACGAAAGUUGGGGGAUCGAAGACGAUCAGAUACCGUCGUAGUCUCAACUAUAAACUAUACCAGCUAGGGAUCGGCCGACGUUUACUUAUAUCGACUCGGUCGGCACCUUAUGAGAAAUCAAAGCAUCUGGGUUCCGGGGGGAGUAUG